CGGUGGGCGGGACUAGACGCAGCCAAUCGGAGCCCACGAGCCCCGUGGUGAUAGGCUGCGCCGGCGGGAGGGCGGGGCUGGGGCGGUGCGGGCCGCGCGCAGGCGGAGCGGCGGCUGGGGAGCCGCGCGGGGUUCAGGUGGCGCCCGCGCCCCGCUGGGUGCUAAGAGGCGAGACCAGGGGGCGCCGGCCGCGUGGGCCAGGCAUUGUCCGGUCACCGGAGCCGGCCCCGCCUGCAGAAAGUUAGGGAGAGGUAGAAACAUCAGUGAUGAAAGAGAAUCAUUGAUUGGCUGCGGCCUGCAGGCCACGGAGCCCACAUCGCCGCCACAGUCCCGGAAUGAAACCGUGACCUCCUGGCUCAUAAGUCCCAGCUCAGCCAAGCCAGGCCUGCCAGGCGCUAACUGUUCUCUUUACAGGAUGCCUGUAGAGACUUGGCCUCUUACCGGUAUUGCUCCUGUUCCUUGGCCUCUUUACUUGGGGUGUAGUGGGGCAGUGGGGAGGGGAGAGCUAGUCUGGGUUUGGCCAGUGCAAAACCCAGUUAAGGAACUGACAGCAAGUCCCAAAUGGAGUCUUUUGUAUCAAGCCCAAGUCUCAAACAAAGACUUAAUACUUACUCUAAUUGCAGCUUCACUUUCUUCCUGGAAUGUAACCUUUAACUUUUCAGCCUGGGGUUACCUGAUAAGACCCCUUCCUGCUGCCGAGGGCUACCUUGUCUAAAACAAUGUGUUCUUGGCCAAUACUUUCCUUUUUCCACCUUUAAAACCAUUUCUUUUCUGCAGCCGGGCUGAGCUUUUUGCUGGAUGGAUGCUGCCCAAUUCAGAAUCAGUGAAUAAAGCCAAUUAGAUCUUUACAUUUA